rnacentral:misc_RNA from 1 species
GAUGAAGAACGCAGCGAAAUGCGAUAAGUAAUGCGAAUUGCAGAAUCCGUGAGUCAUCGAAUCUUUGAACGCACAUUGCGCCCGCCAGCAUUCUGGCGGGCAUGCCUGUCCGAGCGUCAUUUCAACCCUCAGGGUCCCUCCGCCUCGCGCGGUCGGAGCCUGGUGUUGGGGAUCGGCCCGCCCCGCGCGGCGCCGUCCCCCAAAUACAGUGGCGGUCCCGCCGCAGCCUCCCCUGCGCAGUAGUUAUCAACUCGCACUGGAGCGCGGCGCGGCCACGCCGUAAAACCCCCGACUUUUAGAAAGUUGACCUCGGAUCAGGUAGGAAUACCCGCUGAACUUAAGCAUAUCAAUAAGCGGAGGA